rnacentral:rRNA from 1 species
AUGCAUUCAAAGUUCCCAGUGGAUAAUAACAAGACUAUUUGGAGAUCAAAGAUUCCACUGAAAAUUAAUAUCUUCAUGUGGUAUCUUCGGGAGGGAGUGGUGCUAGCCAAAGAUAACCUCGCCCGUCGCAACUGGCAUGGAAGCAAGAAGUGUGGCUUUUGUACUCAUGACGAGACAACCAGACACUUCUUUUUCCAGUGCAAGUUUGCGUGUUUUACGUGGUCAAUCAUCCAAAUAGCUUCUAAUCUUUAUCCGUCCAUAGGUGUUGCCAAUAUUUUUGGUCAUUGGCUAGACGAUAUUCGUUACAGAUUCAAAACGCUAAUAAGAGUGGGAGCGUAUGCCUUAUUAUGGUCGCUUUGGCUAUGUAUAAAUGAUCUGAUUUUUAAUGACAAAAACUCUUCUCCUUUGCAGGUUAUUUUCCGUUGUACACAAUCGCUUCGUACGUGGUCUAUGAUUCACCGUACGGAAUUCCAACCAUUGUUCAAGGCGGUGUGUACGUAA